AUGAUGCACACAGCUGGCUCACCACAGUGCCAUUGGACAGCCGCAGUCACAAGACAAGUGUGUCAGCUCUCCUCACACUCAAUCUCAGCACAGGGGAGGGGUAUAAGUUAUGACAUAAUUAACCUGAAACAACACUCCCUUUCUUUAGGUGAGUCAUCUGCAGUUAUCCAGAAAAUGUGCAGUAUGAAAAUUACCUCCGGUUCAGGGUAUUGAGAAUACAAAGUAGCCACUUAGAGUUACUUCGGAAAAAUAAAUAUGGAACACUUCUAAUUUAUAAAUAAAGA
rnacentral:lncRNA from 1 species